rnacentral:rRNA from 1 species
CUGGUGCCAGCAGCCGCGGUAAUUCCAGCUCCAAUAGCGUAUAUUAAAGUUGUUGCAGUUAAAAAGCUCGUAGUUGAAUUUCGGGAUUAGUGCGCCGGUCGUGCCUUCGGUAUGUACUGGUGUUACUGGUUCCUACCUUCUGACGAACUGUCAUGUCAUUAAUUUGGUGUGGCGGGAAUCAGGACUGUUACUUUGAAAAAUUAGAGUGUUUAAAGCAGGCUCGCGCUUGAAUACAUUAGCAUGGAAUAAUGAAAUAGGACGUUCGAUCCUAUUUUGUUGGUUUCUAGGAUUGACGUAAUGAUUAAUAGGGAUAGUUGGGGGCAUUAGUAUUCAAUUGUCAGAGGUGAAAUUCUUGGAUUUAUUGAAGACUAACUACUGCGAAAGCAUUUGCCAAGGAUGUUUUCAUUAAUCAAGAACGAAAGUUAGGGGAUCGAAGACGAUCAGAUACCGUCGUAGUCUUAACCAUAAACUAUGCCGACUAGGGAUCGGAUGAUGUUAUUUUUAAUGACUCAUUCGGCGCCUUACG